rnacentral:lncRNA from 1 species
AGGGGAUGGACAUUACUUUAGAAAAGCCUGUGCCCCCCAGUGGGGGCAGGAGAUGGUAAGCCCUGAUUUCUUAAUUCACGCUCUGUGUAGCCUCCCUCUUGAAAAUGGGCAGCUGGGAUUGCCUGGAUUUCACUUCAGAGGUGUCAAGUAAACCCCUGCGAGGACUGUGGUGUGCUCUGCUCCAGCCUGGAACUCCACUUGAAUGUGUGCAACUACACAGGAUGUGUAGCAAGUGUUCAAGAACGUGCAGUCAAGGCACUGGUGUUGGCUGUGAGGAGCUGCCCUUUGUUGUCCUGAUGGGAGAGAGAAGUAGAGAUAGUCUGGAACAUGCAGAGUUGUGUCAGAACAUAUGCACCGUGGGCAGUAGCGAGUCAUCCUGUCAGCGCUUCUGCCCUGUCCUAGAUGGAUGGCCUCCAGCUUGGAGCUUGCCUCUUGGCUCCGCCAAGGCUGCUGGCACGUACCUGCUUCUGCUGUGGAAGCCUUUUGAUGUAGGUGGUUGCCUGCUGUGA